GGUUAAGCGACUAAGCGUACACGGUGGAUGCCCUGGCAGUCAGAGGCGAUGAAGGACGUGCUAAUCUGCGAUAAGCGUCGGUAAGGUGAUAUGAACCGUUAUAACCGGCGAUUUCCGAAUGGGGAAACCCAGUGUGUUUCGACACACUAUCAUUAACUGAAUCCAUAGGUUAAUGAGGCGAACCGGGGGAACUGAAACAUCUAAGUACCCCGAGGAAAAGAAAUCAACCGAGAUUCCCCCAGUAGCGGCGAGCGAACGGGGAGCAGCCCAGAGCCUGAAUCAGUGUGUGUGUUAGUGGAAGCGUCUGGAAAGGCGCGCGAUACAGGGUGACAGCCCCGUACACAAAAAUGCACAUGCUGUGAGCUCGAUGAGUAGGGCGGGACACGUGGUAUCCUGUCUGAAUAUGGGGGGACCAUCCUCCAAGGCUAAAUACUCCUGACUGACCGAUAGUGAACCAGUACCGUGAGGGAAAGGCGAAAAGAACCCCGGCGAGGGGAGUGAAAAAGAACCUGAAACCGUGUACGUACAAGCAGUGGGAGCACGCUUAGGCGUGUGACUGCGUACCUUUUGUAUAAUGGGUCAGCGACUUAUAUUCUGUAGCAAGGUUAACCGAAUAGGGGAGCCGAAGGGAAACCGAGUCUUAACUGGGCGUUAAGUUGCAGGGUAUAGACCCGAAACCCGGUGAUCUAGCCAUGGGCAGGUUGAAGGUUGGGUAACACUAACUGGAGGACCGAACCGACUAAUGUUGAAAAAUUAGCGGAUGACUUGUGGCUGGGGGUGAAAGGCCAAUCAAACCGGGAGAUAGCUGGUUCUCCCCGAAAGCUAUUUAGGUAGCGCCUCGUGAAUUCAUCUCCGGGGGUAGAGCACUGUUUCGGCAAGGGGGUCAUCCCGACUUACCAACCCGAUGCAAACUGCGAAUACCGGAGAAUGUUAUCACGGGAGACACACGGCGGGUGCUAACGUCCGUCGUGAAGAGGGAAACAACCCAGACCGCCAGCUAAGGUCCCAAAGUCAUGGUUAAGUGGGAAACGAUGUGGGAAGGCCCAGACAGCCAGGAUGUUGGCUUAGAAGCAGCCAUCAUUUAAAGAAAGCGUAAUAGCUCACUGGUCGAGUCGGCCUGCGCGGAAGAUGUAACGGGGCUAAACCAUGCACCGAAGCUGCGGCAGCGACGCUUAUGCGUUGUUGGGUAGGGGAGCGUUCUGUAAGCCUGUGAAGGUGUGCUGUGAGGCAUGCUGGAGGUAUCAGAAGUGCGAAUGCUGACAUAAGUAACGAUAAAGCGGGUGAAAAGCCCGCUCGCCGGAAGACCAAGGGUUCCUGUCCAACGUUAAUCGGGGCAGGGUGAGUCGACCCCUAAGGCGAGGCCGAAAGGCGUAGUCGAUGGGAAACAGGUUAAUAUUCCUGUACUUGGUGUUACUGCGAAGGGGGGACGGAGAAGGCUAUGUUGGCCGGGCGACGGUUGUCCCGGUUUAAGCGUGUAGGCUGGUUUUCCAGGCAAAUCCGGAAAAUCAAGGCUGAGGCGUGAUGACGAGGCACUACGGUGCUGAAGCAACAAAUGCCCUGCUUCCAGGAAAAGCCUCUAAGCAUCAGGUAACAUCAAAUCGUACCCCAAACCGACACAGGUGGUCAGGUAGAGAAUACCAAGGCGCUUGAGAGAACUCGGGUGAAGGAACUAGGCAAAAUGGUGCCGUAACUUCGGGAGAAGGCACGCUGAUAUGUAGGUGAAGUCCCUCGCGGAUGGAGCUGAAAUCAGUCGAAGAUACCAGCUGGCUGCAACUGUUUAUUAAAAACACAGCACUGUGCAAACACGAAAGUGGACGUAUACGGUGUGACGCCUGCCCGGUGCCGGAAGGUUAAUUGAUGGGGUUAGCGGUAACGCGAAGCUCUUGAUCGAAGCCCCGGUAAACGGCGGCCGUAACUAUAACGGUCCUAAGGUAGCGAAAUUCCUUGUCGGGUAAGUUCCGACCUGCACGAAUGGCGUAAUGAUGGCCAGGCUGUCUCCACCCGAGACUCAGUGAAAUUGAACUCGCUGUGAAGAUGCAGUGUACCCGCGGCAAGACGGAAAGACCCCGUGAACCUUUACUAUAGCUUGACACUGAACAUUGAGCCUUGAUGUGUAGGAUAGGUGGGAGGCUUAGAAGUGUGGACGCCAGUCUGCAUGGAGCCGACCUUGAAAUACCACCCUUUAAUGUUUGAUGUUCUAACGUUGACCCGUAAUCCGGGUUGCGGACAGUGUCUGGUGGGUAGUUUGACUGGGGCGGUCUCCUCCUAAAGAGUAACGGAGGAGCACGAAGGUUGGCUAAUCCUGGUCGGACAUCAGGAGGUUAGUGCAAUGGCAUAAGCCAGCUUGACUGCGAGCGUGACGGCGCGAGCAGGUGCGAAAGCAGGUCAUAGUGAUCCGGUGGUUCUGAAUGGAAGGGCCAUCGCUCAACGGAUAAAAGGUACUCCGGGGAUAACAGGCUGAUACCGCCCAAGAGUUCAUAUCGACGGCGGUGUUUGGCACCUCGAUGUCGGCUCAUCACAUCCUGGGGCUGAAGUAGGUCCCAAGGGUAUGGCUGUUCGCCAUUUAAAGUGGUACGCGAGCUGGGUUUAGAACGUCGUGAGACAGUUCGGUCCCUAUCUGCCGUGGGCGCUGGAGAACUGAGGGGGGCUGCUCCUAGUACGAGAGGACCGGAGUGGACGCAUCACUGGUGUUCGGGUUGUCAUGCCAAUGGCACUGCCCGGUAGCUAAAUGCGGAAGAGAUAAGUGCUGAAAGCAUCUAAGCACGAAACUUGCCCCGAGAUGAGUUCUCCCUGACUCCUUGAGAGUCCUGAAGGAACGUUGAAGACGACGACGUUGAUAGGCCGGGUGUGUAAGCGCAGCGAUGCGUUGAGCUAACCGGUACUAAUGAACCGUGAGGCUUAACCUC
rnacentral:rRNA from 1 species